AGUAGAUCGCCAUGGUGGUAAUCAAAAGAAAAUUGCGUUUCCCAGGUGUACAAGUAUGGAAUGUCGGUUCGAACAUAUGAUGUCUCGCAAACUGCAGUCAACAUGUCGAGUUUCGUGCCGAAUAAAGAGCAAACGCGGACAGUAUUUUGACGUCGACGACAAAGAGCACGGAAAACCACCAAAAAGGUACGAAGACGCCGAACUGCAAGCAUUAUUGGAUGAAGACGAUGCUCAAACGCAAAAACAACUCGCAGAGCAGUUGGAAGUAAGUCAACAAGCAGUUUCCAAUCGCUUGCGAGAGAUGGGAAAGAUUCAGAAGGUCGGUAGAUGGGUGCCACAUGAGUUGAACGAGAGGCAGAUGGAGAGGCGCAAAAACACAUGCGAAAUUUUGCUUUCACGAUACAAAAGGAAGUCGUUUUUGCAUCGUAUCGUUACUGGCGAUGAAAAAUGGAUCUUUUUUGUUAAUCCUAAACGUAAAAAGUAAUACGCAAUUUUCUUUUGAUUACCACCAUGGCGACCUACUCCAGCAUUAGCUGCUCUCCCACAUGCGCAACUUCUUCAUAUCCACGGACGACACCGGAAUGUGCGAAACGGUGAUGCUGAGCGAACAAGUCCUUCACGCAGCAGAGGAACAUGAAGCGUUCCUUCCUGGAGUGGCGCAACCGGAUGCCUGGUGUUUCGCUCCGGCGUUGUCCCGCCCCCCGUCGGCGUGGAGGUAGAAUUCGACGAGACAGUGGCCAAUCAGUUUAGCUGCAAGCGCUGCGACCGACGUAACCACACUAAAUGCGGGAAGCGGCAGUGCUGGGAUAGCCCACUCGCCCAGCAGUCCGGGUCAUUCUUCCGUCCUCUUUUCAAGCAGUAAUAUUCGCUUUAAGAACUACGACUUCGAUACGGACACCCACACGGCGGAACAGAUCCACAACAAGCUGAACUGCGUACUUGAGAUGCGAUCCAGCGAUCCGAGGCGCGAGUUCCUUCUGCAGCGCGAUCGGAAGCAGGAGAAGAGGCAGCUGAAGUUGUAGUAUUUAUUCCUAUGGCAGCGGCUGCCGCUCGUGUGCCUAGCAGGCGGGCUACUGUCUGUAUAUCUGGUUUUCAUUUCCGUUUUUUUCACUCUACCCCCACUGCAAUUGUCUGUAAUCAAUGUGCAAUUAAUCGCACAGACGACCAGACGUGGACGGACCCAACGGUUAGUCGUAUUACUGCACAUAUUGAUUUCGGUCUGGCAGUUUAUUUUUAGUUUUGCAAUGCCAGCGAUGACUGGGUUGGGCGGCUGGGUCGCCGGCUAACAGCUGUGGAGUAGUCGAGAAUAAUGGCUAACUGCCGUUAGACGAUCGUUGCAUGCAUAUGCAUCUGCAGCGGAGGCUAACAAGCGAUUGCAGCAGCGCGUUCUAAGGCCAAGGCUAGCGACUCGAAAUCACGCCAAAAUGCGCGACAUUUGAGGCCGUUCGUCUGAUGGCGAUGAUGAUGCUGUUGGCGUGACCAGAUCUGGUGCUGCAAUUCCCAGAGGAAGUGGCUAAGGUGAUACCUAAAUUUAUAAAUACGCCGCAUAGGCAGUAAAAAAAAAAAAAAAGACUAACAAAUUCCCGCGAUCUCAAAUAGCCCAUAAAAUAAAAGGAAAACGCCUA